GCCCAUGUGGCGGAAUCGGUAGACGUUGCGGACUUAAAAUCCGUUGAUCGCAAGGUCGUGGGAGUUCAAGUCUCCCCAUGGGCACCA
rnacentral:tRNA from 1 species